UACGGGAGUGGCAAGCGUUAUCCGGAAUUAUUGGGCGUAAAGCGUCCGCAGGCGGCCUUUUAAGUCUGAUGUUAAAGCGCGGAGCUUAACUCCAUUUCAGCAAUGGAAACUGGAAGGCUUGAGUGUGGUAGGGGCAGAGGGAAUUCCCGGUGUAGCGGUGAAAUGCGUAGAUAUCGGGAAGAACACCAGUGGCGAAGGCGCUCUGCUGGGCCAUAACUGACGCUCAUGGACGAAAGCCAGGGGAGCGAAAGGGAUUAGAUACCCCUGUAGUCCUGGCCGUAAACGAUGAACACUAGGUGUCGGGGGAAUCGACCCCCUCGGUGUCGUAGCCAACGCGUUAAGUGUUCCGCCUGGGGAGUACGCACGCAAGUGUGAAACUCAAAGGAAUUGACGGGGGCCCGCACAAGCGGUGGAGUAUGUGGUUUAAUUCGAUGCAACGCGAAGAACCUUACCAGGGUUUGACAUCCUGCGAAUCCCUUGGAAACGAGGGAGUGCCCUCGGGAGCGCAGUGACAGGUGGUGCAUGGCUGUCGUCAGCUCGUGUCGUGAGAUGUUGGGUUAAGUCCCGCAACGAGCGCAACCCACGUCGUUAGUUGCCAGCAUUCAGUUGGGCACUCUAGCGAGACCGCCGGUGAUAAACCGGAGGAAGGUGUGGAUGACGUCAAGUCAUCAUGCCCCUUACAUCCUGGGCUACACACGUACUACAAUGCUACGGACAAAGGGCAGCAAACUCGCGAGAGCUAGCAAAUCCCAUAAACCGUGGCUCAGUUCAGAUCGUAGGCUGCAACUCGCCUACGUGAAGGAGGAAUCGCUAGUAAUCGCAGGUCAGCAUACUGCGGUGAAUACGUUCCCGGGCCU
rnacentral:rRNA from 1 species